UACAGAGGUCUCAAGCGUUGUUCGGAUUCAUUGGGCGUAAAGGGUGCGUAGGCGGCGCGGUAAGUCGGGUGUGAAAUCUCGGAGCUUAACUCCGAAACUGCAUUCGAUACUGCCGUGCUUGAGGACUGGAGAGGAGACUGGAAUUUACGGUGUAGCGGUGAAAUGCGUAGAUAUCGAGAGGAACACCAGUGGCGAAGGCGAGUCUCUGGACAUUUCCUGACGCUGGGGCACGAAAGCCAGGGGAGCAAACGGG
rnacentral:rRNA from 1 species